rnacentral:lncRNA from 1 species
GAGAAUCCAUGCCAGCUUGGGGUUCUUCUUAGCAUUUAUCUUUGAAUUCUGCCACAAUAGCAUUCAUGGCCUUACGGUUUGGACAGUCCCUUACCCAAUGUGGACCAUUGCAAAUGAAGCAAGGCUUGGGCGGUUUGGAGGUAGUAGGCUUAUCUUUGCGUCCCAAGCCUUUAUCGUGCCUUGAGUUACCGCCAGAGGAUUUCUGGUAGCUACUCUCCUUGCCUUUAUUGAAAUCCUUCUUUUGACCUCUCCCACUCUUAGUA